GCUUACGGCCAUACCACCCUGAGCACGCCCGAUCUCGUCCGAUCUCGGAAGCUAAGCAGGGUCGGGCCUGGUUAGUACUUGGUUGGGAGACCGCCUGGGAAUACCAGGUGCUGUAAGCUUUU
rnacentral:rRNA from 1 species